UACACUUUAGUAUAUGAUGUAUAUAGGUUUUUGAUACCUAAGGGGUUGGUUUAAUUCCUUCAAGUGUAA
rnacentral:tRNA from 1 species